UACGUAGGGUCCGAGCGUUGUCCGGAAUUACUGGGCGUAAAGAGCUCGUAGGUGGUUUGUCGCGUUGUUCGUGAAAACUCACAGCUCAACUGUGGGCGUGCGGGCGAUACGGGCAGACUGGAGUACUGCAGGGGAGACUGGAAUUCCUGGUGUAGCGGUGGAAUGCGCAGAUAUCAGGAGGAACACCGGUGGCGCAGGCGGGACUCUGGGCCGAUACUGACGCUGAGGAGCGAAAGCGUGGGGAGCAAACAGG
rnacentral:rRNA from 1 species